UACGGAGGGUGCAAGCGUUGUCCGGAUUUAUUGGGUUUAAAGGGUGCGUAGGUGGCUUAUUAAGUCAGUGUUUAAAGUCUGCAGCUUAACUGUAGGUAUGGCAUUGAUACUGAUAGGCUUGAGUAAAGUUGAGGUAGGCGGAAUUGAAGGUGUAGCGGUGAAAAUGCAUAGAUAUCUUCAAGAACACCCGAUUGCGAAGGCAGCUUACUAAGCUUUAACUGACACUGAGGCACGAAAAGCGUGGGGGAUCAAAACAGG
rnacentral:rRNA from 1 species